rnacentral:rRNA from 1 species
CCUACGGGUGGCAGCAGUGAGGCAUAUUUGUCAAUGGCCGAGAGGCUGAACCAGCCAAGUCGCGUGAGGGAAGACGGCCCUACGGGUUGUAAACCUCUUUUGUCGGGGAGCAAAGCGAGUCACGUGUGACUCCUUGAGAGUACCCGAAGAAAAAGCCUCGGCUAACUCCGUGCCAGCCGCCGCGGUAAUACGGAGGAUGCGAGCGUUAUCAGGAUUUCUUGGGUUUAAAGGGUGCGCAGGCGGAGGUGCAAGUCAGCGGUCAAAUUGCGGGGCUCAACCCCGUAAUACCGUUGAAACUGGGGAUCUGGAGUGGGCGAGAAGUAUGCGGAAGGCGUGGUGUAGCGGUGAAAUGCAUAGAUAUCACGCAGAACUCCGAUUGCGAAGGCAGCAUACCGGCGCCCGACUGACGCUGAGGCACGAAAGCGUGGGGAUCGAACAGGAUUAGAUACCCGUGUAGUC